rnacentral:rRNA from 1 species
AGAGUUUGAUCCUGGCUCAGGAUGAACGCUAGCGGCAGGCUUAACACAUGCAAGUCGAGGGGCAGCGAGGGUAGCAAUACCUGUCGGCGACCGGCGCAAGGGUGCGUAACGCGUGAGCAACAUGCCCGUAUCAGGGGGAUAAUCCAGGGAAACUUGGUCUAAUACCGCAUAAUAAUCAUUUGGGGCAUCUUGGAUGAUUUAAAAUUUCGAUGGAUACGGAUUGGCUCGCGUGACAUUAGCUGGAUGGAGAGGUAACGGCUCACCAUGGCUACGAUGUCUAGGGGUUCUGAGAGGAAGGUCCCCCACACUGGAACUGAGACACGGUCCAGACUCCUACGGGAGGCAGCAGUGAGGAAUAUUGGACAAUGGAUGGAAAUCUGAUCCAGCCAUGCCGCGUGCAGGAAGACGGCCCUAUGGGUUGUAAACUGCUUUUGUAUGGGAGCAAUAAGGGCUACGUGUAGCCUGAUGAGAGUACCAUACGAAUAAGGACCGGCUAACUCCGUGCCAGCAGCCGCGGUAAUACGGAGGGUCCGAGCGUUAUCCGGAUUUAUUGGGUUUAAAGGGUGCGUAGGCGGUUUUAUAAGUCAGCGGUGAAAUUUUCCGGCUCAACCGGGAUACUGCCGUUGAUACUGUAAGGCUAGGAUAUGGUUGCUGUGGGUGGAAUGUGUGGUGUAGCGGUGAAAUGCUUAGAGAUCACACAGAAUAUCGAUUGCGAAGGCAGCUCACAAAGCCAUUAUUGACGCUGAGGCACGAAAGUGUGGGGAUCAAACAGGAUUAGAUACCCUGGUAGUCG